rnacentral:rRNA from 1 species
GAUGAACGCUGGCGGCGUGCCUAAUACAUGCAAGUCGAGCGAACAGAUGAGGAGCUUGCUCUUCUGACGUUAGCGGCGGACGGGUGAGUAACACGUGGAUAACCUACCUAUAAGACUGGGAUAACUUCGGGAAACCGGAGCUAAUACCGCAUAAUAUAUUGUACCGCAUGGUUCAAUAGUGAAAGACGGUUUUGCUGUACCUUAUAGAUGGAUUCGAGCCGCAUUAGCAAGUUGGUAAGGUAACGGCGUACUAAGGCAAGGAUCAGUAGCCGACCUGGGAGGGUGAUCGGCCACACUGGAACUGAGACACGGUCCGAACUCCUACGGGAGGCAGCAGUAGGGAAUCUUCCGAAAGGGGCGAAAGCCUGACGGAGCAACGCCGCGUGAGUGAUGAAGGUCUUCGGAUCGUAAAACCUUGUGAUUAGGGAAGAACAAAUGUGGAAGUAACUAUGCACGUCGUGACGGUACCUAAUCAGAAAGCCACGGCUAACUACGUG